rnacentral:rRNA from 1 species
UACGAAGGGGGCUAGCGUUGCUCGGAAUCACUGGGCGUAAAGGGUGCGUAGGCGGGUCUUUAAGUCAGGGGUGAAAUCCUGGAGCUCAACUCCAGAACUGCCUUUGAUACUGAAGAUCUUGAGUUCGGGAGAGGUGAGUGGAACUGCGAGUGUAGAGGUGAAAUUCGUAGAUAUUCGCAAGAACACCAGUGGCGAAGGCGGCUCACUGGCCCGAUACUGACGCUGAGGAGCGAAAGCGUGGGUAGCAAACGAGGAACAUUGAUAA